GAGGAGGUGGUGAAGGCUCGAGUACAGGAAGUGGGUCAGGUUAUGGAAGUGGAAGUGGAAGUGGCUAUGGUAGCGGAGGUGGCAAGGGCGGUGGUGGUGGGGGAGGCGGAGGAGGUGGUGGUGGCGGUGGUGGUGGAAGCAGCCAUGGUGGUGGUAGUGGCUCUGGUUACGGGGAGGGUUAUGGGUCUGGAUAUGGUGAAGGAGGUGGGAAUGAUUCACCAUGAACAUGAUCACAUUAAUUACAUGAACUAUUCCAUUGUUAGAUAAUUUACCAUCUUUGUCCAUUCGUAACUGAAAUAAAAUGCUCAGCUUCAACAUCACUUUAUGAAUACGUGGUCGUGGACAUGUCACCCUUCGAUAUUAAUCACAUUGUCACUCCUACCAUGCUAUUAAUACAAAAGCUCUAUUUUCUUUUUGAUAAACUUAUUAGACUAGAUUCUACUUAUCUUGAAUGUUUUUGUUGUUUAAGAGUAAAACUACUAUUGCAAAUAUCUUUAAAAUAUUUAUGUGGUAAAUAGUUCUGAUAAAUAAAAUCUUUCUCUUUAAUAGGAUUUUUCUCUUCAACUCCAUUCCGCCCUGAAUGAAAAUAUUGUUUGUCAUACAUUAUGCAUGAAACGUUUGGUUAGGUUUUGAGACCGUUUGAUUGGUAAGUUGGAUUGGUGCCUA
rnacentral:lncRNA from 1 species